UACGAAGGGGGCUAGCGUUGUUCGGAAUUACUGGGCGUAAAGCGCGCGCAGGCGGUCUUCCAAGUCAGUGGUGAAAGCCCGGAGCUCAACUCCGGAACUGCCAUUGAAACUGUAAGACUUGAGGAUGAGAGAGGUGAGUGGAAUUCCCAGUGUAGAGGUGAAAUUCGUAGAUAUUGGGAAGAACACCGGUGGCGAAGGCGGCUCACUGGUCCGGUACUGACGCUGAGGUGCGAAAGCGUGGGGAGCAAACAGG
rnacentral:rRNA from 1 species